AAUUAGCUACCAAACGAGAUUGUUAUUUCUCUAUCUAUGUUUUAUAAUUGAGGGAUGAUGACAAUUGUUGACCCUUUUUUUCUGUUAGACAAAGUGCACAGUUGGUCAUGAACGGAUGCCAGGACCAACAAGAAAGAGCAAAGCUUCUCAGGAAAGACCUCAGAAUAAAAGUGUCAUGCGACACAAGUACUCGUGUGAUAAGGAGGACCGAGCACUCCCCCAUUCUCAUCGACAGGGCUGUAGUGGAGCAGGUUGAGAGCUUCAAGUUCCUUGCUGUCCACAUCACCAACCAACUAGAAUGGUCCAAACACAACAAGACAGUCGUGAAGAGGGCAUGACAAAGCCUAUUCCCCAUGGGUCCUGAGAUCCUCAAAAGGUUCUACAGCUGGUUGCAUCACUGCCUGGUACGGCAAUUGCUCAGCCUCCGACCGCAAGGCACUACAGAGGGUAGUGCGUAUGGCCCAGCACAUCACUGGGUCUAAGCUGCCUGCCUGCCAUCCAGGACCUCUACACCAGGCGGUGUCAGAGGAAGGCCCUAAAAAUUGUCAAAGACCCCAGCCACCCCAGUCAUAGACUGUUCUCUCUACUACCGCGUGGCAAGCGGUACCGGAGUGCCAAGUCUAGGACAAAAAGGCUUCUCAACUGUAUUUACCCCCAAGCCAUAAGACUCCUGAACAGGCCAUACCAGUCAACACCACCUCAUAAGACUGCCUGCUGCACUUGUUCGAGAGAUGUCCAGUUUGCAGCCGGACAUGGGGGCCCUCAUCAGCAUAAUUCAGACAUGCCCCUCGCUGUGAGUAUUCCUAUGAAUGGAACAGUCAGUCACAUGUUGGCAAGUAUCCAACCAGCAACCUUAACCUGUCAGCGGCAACAGCUUUCACCAGCUCAUAAUUUGUACUAAUACAGAAGGUAACACACUUCAUUACUCUGAUCCAUUUGAUAACCCAAUUUUGAAACUAAAUGUAAACUGACAUUAUUUGAUGCUAUUUUCUACUUCUUAGAUGCAUAUAAUGUCCAGGGCAAAACCUAGCCUGGUGGAAUCAGCCUGAUCGCUGUGUUCACCAUUCUAUUUCACUUCACAUUUUGUGAGGUUGGUUCCACCAGGCUGAUCAUAACCCCCAUUAAUAAUGUAAUCAGUACUCUGUGUGUGUGUGUGUGUGUGUGACUGACCAGUAUCUUUGAAGAGGGGGCAGGAGCUAAUCUACGCUGCCAUGUCUAUCAAUGGGGCUCUGGCAAUGACCUUACCUCUUGCCUGCCCACCAAUGGUCGUCGAUGGGGAGAACAGAAUUAGAAACAUGUAUGGAGCCAGCACAUGGAGACUUGCAAAAUGAUGUGAUGAAGUCCAGACCGACAGACGCACUUGAUACUGAUGUCUCUUGAUUGUUGAGAGACCUGGAACUCAUCA